rnacentral:rRNA from 1 species
AACGAACGUUAGCGGCGCGCUUAACACAUGCAAGUCGAGCGAGAAAGUCCCUUCGGGGGCGAGUACAGCGGCGCACGGGUGAGUAACACGUGGGUUAUCUACCUUCCGGCGGGGGACAACACCUCGAAAGGGGUGCUAAUACCGCAUACGUCCACUUCGGUGGGGAAAGGCGGCUUCGGCUGUCACCGGAAGAUGAGUCCGCGGCCCAUCAGCUAGUUGGUAGGGUAACGGCCUACCAAGGCAAAGACGGGUAGCUGGUCUGAGAGGAUGAUCAGCCACACUGGGACUGAGACACGGCCCAGACUCCUACGGGAGGCAG